rnacentral:rRNA from 1 species
UACGUAGGGUGCAAGCGUUGUCCGGAAUUAUUGGGCGUAAAGAGCUCGUAGGCGGUUUGUUGCGUCGGCUGUGAAAACCCGAGGCUCAACCUCGGGCCUGCAGUGGGUACGGGCAGACUAGAGUGCGGGUAGGGGAGAUUGGAAUUCCUGGUGUAGCGGUGGAAUGCGCAGGAUAUCAGGAGGAACACCGAUGGCGAAGGCAGAUCUCUGGGCCGUAACUGACGCUGAGGAGCGAAAGCAUGGGGAGCGAACAGG